rnacentral:rRNA from 1 species
AACUUUGGAGCAUGGAUCUAGUCAUAUGUUCCUGGGAACAGGACGUCACAGAGGGUGAGAAUCCCCUGGAAUGAGAUGCCCACUUAUAUGUAAAUUGCUUUUGAAGCCUUGACUUGUUUGCGAAUGCAGCUAUAAGUGGGUGGUAAAUUCCAUCUUAAGUUAAUAUAUCGGCGAGAGACCGAUAGCGAACAAGUUCAGUGAUGGAAAGAUGAAAAGAACUUUGAAAAGCCAGUGAAAAAGUACGUGAAUUUGUUGAAAGGGAAGGGCUUGAGAUCCGACUUGGUAUUAUGCGAUCCUUUCCUUGCUGGUUGGGUUCCUCGCAGCUUACUGGGCCAGCCUCGGUUUGGAUGGUAGGAUAAUGAUUAAGGAAUGCGGUUUUAAUUCGGCGGAUUGUUGUAGCCUUGGUUCAUAGCUGCCUGUCUAGACCGAGGACCGCG